CGGGACGGGUGAGUAAUGUAUGGGGAUCUGCCUGAUGGCGGGGGAUAACUACUGGAAACGGUAGCUAAUACCGCAUAACGUCGCAAGGCCAAAGAGGGGACCUUCGGGCCUCUUGCCAUCGGAUGUGCCCAGAUGGGAUUAGCUAGUAGGUGGGGUAACGGCUCACCUAGGCGACGAUCCCUAGCUGGUCUGAGAGGAUGACCAGCCACACUGGAACUGAGACACGGUCCAG
rnacentral:rRNA from 1 species